rnacentral:rRNA from 2 species
GCUUUAAUUAACCGGCCCAAAGAGACCCCACUAACUAACCGACAGGAACAACAAAUCUCUCCAUGGGCCGACAAUUUAGGUUGGGGUGACCUCGGAGAAUAAAAUAACCUCCGAGUGAUUUAAAUCUAGACUAACCAGUCAAAAGUAUUACAUCACUUAUUGAUCCAAAAAACUUGAUCAACGGAACAAGUUACC